CGACAGAUAAGGAGCUUGCUCCUUUGACGUUAGCGGCGGACGGGUGAGUAACACGUGGGUAACCUACCUAUAAGACUGGGAUAACUUCGGGAAACCGGAGCUAAUACCGGAUAACAUUUGGAACCGCAUGGUUCUAAAGUGAAAGAUGGUUUUGCUAUCACUUAUAGAUGGACCCGCGCCGUAUUAGCUAGUUGGUAAGGUAACGGCUUACCAAGGCAACGAUACGUAGCCGACCUGAGAGGGUGAUCGGCCACACUGGAACUGAGACACGGUCCAGACUCCUACGGGAGGCAGCAGUAGGGAAUCUUCCGCAAUGGGCGAAAGCCUGACGGAGCAACGCCGCGUGAGUGAUGAAGGGUUUCGGCUCGUAAAACUCUGUUAUUAGGGAAGAACAAACGUGUAAGUAACUGUGCACGUCUUGACGGUACCUAAUCAGAAAGCCACGGCUAACUACGUGCCAGCAGCCGCGGUAAUACGUAGGUGGCAAGCGUUAUCCGGAAUUAUUGGGCGUAAAGCGCGCGUAGGCGGUUUCUUAAGUCUGAUGUGAAAGCCCACGGCUCAACCGUGGAGGGUCAUUGGAAACUGGGAAACUUGAGUGCAGAAGAGGAAAGUGGAAUUCCAUGUGUAGCGGUGAAAUGCGCAGAGAUAUGGAGGAACACCAGUGGCGAAGGCGACUUUCUGGUCUGUAACUGACGCUGAUGUGCGAAAGCGUGGGGAUCAAACAGGAUUAGAUACCCUGGUAGUCCAC
rnacentral:rRNA from 1 species